rnacentral:misc_RNA from 1 species
GAUGAAGAACGUAGCGAAAUGCGAUAAGUAAUGUGAAUUGCAGAAUUCAGUGAAUCAUCGAAUCUUUGAACGCACAUUGCGCCCGCCAGUAUUCUGGCGGGCAUGCCUGUCUGAGCGUCAUUUCAACCCUCAUGCCCCUAGGGCGUGGUGUUGGGGAUCGGCCAAAGCCCGCGAGGGACGGCCGGCCCCUAAAUCUAGUGGCGGACCCGUCGUGGCCUCCUCUGCGAAGUAGUGAUAUUCCGCAUCGGAGAGCGACGAGCCCCUGCCGUUAAACCCCCAACUUUCCAAGGUUGACCUCAGAGCAGGUAGGAAUACCCGCUGAACUUAAGCAUAUCAAUAAGCGGAGGA